rnacentral:lncRNA from 1 species
CUUCCUUCUCCAUUCACAAAAUCUAAACAUCACUUUGGUGGAUAAUUAUAUUAGGAGUAGACUUUUUCUUUUGUUCAGUGGAGAGGUUGGCAAGGCUAAAUUGUUAUUUUUACUCAGAGGUGAGUUGGCAGGCAUUGUAGAUUGAUAUCAAGGCUUUAAGGACAAGGUCUUAAAUUAAGGAAAAUAAAGGCAGAGAUGCCACACACAGAAUGCAACACUCUUCAAGGUAGUAGGCAGACGAGGAGGGUGAAGUAGGCGGGUCCGUUUGCAUGCUUGGCAUGUGCUCAUGUUGCUGUGGAGGAGGAGGGGCGUUCUACCUGCUUACACCUCUCUUGCUGGCUGCCCUCGGUGGACAGGGAGGCUGCAUUGCUGGCCCUUGACAGCCAGCUCCUCGCUCACCCAGCUAUGCACGGUCUUGCGAACAGUCGGAGCUCUUGGGUUCGGUGGUCCAGGUGAUGAUACGGGACACGGCCAGGCGCGUCUCGCUCGAGUUGACGAAGUCCCCAGGAUCCAUGUGCCGUGCCAGGGACUCAAUGUACUUGAGGAUGGCCACCUUGACCUGCGGAAACGACACACUAGCUCAGCCCACCACAUCACAGGUCCCAGACCAAGAGUCUAUCUUCAAUAUUGGGGUUCAAUUUGCAUUCCCCAUGCUUUCUGAUACCGUUUGCUGUAUUGAUUCAUUUAAAAUGCGCUUUUAUCCCAGUCAACUAAGUUCACUUUUCCAGAGGAUUCAGAUUCACUUUAGUACCAGGCAGGGGUAAGGGGGAAUCAGUCACGUAGGUAGGCGGGUAGGGGAGCCCCACUGCCACUACAUCAAUAAAAUGGGCAAAACAGAAUAAACGAUCAAAAUGAUCAAAAACAGCUAAUACAGUACACAAUCAGCUUUAAAAUUGGAUCAAGAUUUGUUAUUUAUUUUUUUAAGUGAAGACAAACCUUACGACAGAUAAAUUGCUUUUAUACAAUACAUUGUAACAAACAAUACUACUGAGUCGGCCAUACCUUGAGGUUAGGAGUCUGAGUUUGGUCCACGAUGAACCUCAUCAGGAUGUUGAAACUGUUGAUCGAAGGGGAAAGAAUCCCUGAAGAACACAAAACACACCAGCAAUGAUUAGUAUUGUCAUAGUGCCAUGAACCUCAUCCUCAUCCUCAUCCUCCAUCGUCAAAAUCGCUUAUCCGGGGUCAGGUUGCGGGGGCAGCAGCUCCAAACUUCCCUUUCCUGGGCCACAUUGACCAUCUCUGACGGGGGUAUCCCGAGGCAUUCCCAGGCCAGUGUUGAGAUAUAAUCUCUCCACCUAGUCCAGGGUCCGAGGUCUCCUCCACACUGGUCGUGCCUGGAACACCUCCCUAACACAUGCCCGGGUGGGCAUCCUUACCAGAUGCCCGAACCACCUCAACUGACCUCCUUUCUAAAUACCUCACGGAUGGCUGAACUUCUCACCAUAUCCCAAGGGAGACCCCAGCCACCCUCCUGAGAAAACCCAUCUCGGUCGCUUGUACCCGCAAUCCUCGUCCUUUGGGUCAUCACCCAUCCCUCAUGACCAUAGGGGAGGAAAGGAACGAAGAUCAACCGGUAGAUCGAGAGCUUUGCCUUGCAGCUAAGCGGUGCAGUGAAGCAAACGUAAUACCGCCCCUGCUGCUCAGAUUCUCCGGACAAUCUCGCGCUCCAUCGUACCCUCACUCGCAAACAAGACCCUGAGGUACUUAAAUUCCUCCACUUUGAAUAAUUACUCAUUUCUACCCGGAGUAGGCCAUCCACUAGUUUCCUGCUGAGAUUCAUAGCCUCAGAUUAAGUGGGUGCUGAUCCUCAUCCCAGCCGCUUCACACUCAGCUGCAAGCUGAUCAAGUGAGUGCUGAACGUCAACAGGCUGAUGAUGCCAUCAGGGCCACAUCAUCUGCAAAAAAACAGUGAUGAGAUCCUCACCACCAACAAACUGCAACCCCUCUCCACCAUGACUACACUUGAUAUCCUGGCCAUGCAAUAUCACAAACAGGAUUGGUCACAAAGUGCAGCCCUGGCGGAGGCCAACACCCACCGGGAACGAAACAGACUUGCUGCGAGAAGCAGACAAAGCUCUUGCUUUGGGAGUACAUAGAUUGGAUGGCCCUGAGGAGUGACCACCUCACCCCAGUUUCUCCUUGGGCACCCAGGAU